UCUGGUUGAUCCUGCCAGUAGCAUAUGCUUGUCUCAAAGAUUAAGCCAUGCAUGUCUAAGUAUAAAUAGUAUACAGUGAAACUGCGAAUGGCUCAUUAAAACAGUUAUAGUUUAUUUGAUAAUGGAAGCCUACAUGGAUAACCGUAGUAAUUCUAGAGCUAAUACAUGCUGUUAAACCUGACUUUUUGGAAGGGUUGUAUUUAUUAGAUAUUAAGCCAAUAUUCCUUCGGGUUUAUUGUGGUGAAUCAUAGUAACUGAUCGAAUCUCCUUUUAGGAGAUAAAUCAUUCAAGUUUCUGCUCUAUCAGCUUUCGAUGGUAGUGUAUUGGACUACCAUGGCAGUCACGGGUAACGGAGAAUUAGGGUUCGAUUCCGGAGAGGGGAGCCUGAGAAACGGCUACCACAUCUAAGGAAGGCAGCAGGCGCGUAAAUUACCCAAUCCUGACUCAGGGAGGUAGUGACAAGAAAUAACAACCCGGGGUAUUCAUUUACUUACGGGAUUGCAAUGAGAACAAUUUAAAUCACUUAGCGAGGAUCAAUUGGAGGGCAAGUCUGGUGCCAGCAGCCGCGGUAAUUCCAGCUCCAAUAGUGUAUAUUAAAGUUGUUGCAGUUAAAAAGCUCGUAGUUGAACUUCUGGCAGUGUGCAGUUAUGGCUUCGGUCAGACUGUUCGCUGUCAUCCGUCUGCAAACCUUGUUCGGCCUUUACUGGUACGGCAAGGGGAGUGGACAUUUUACUUUGAAAAAAUUAGAGUGUUUCAAGCAGGCUAUGGCCAGAAUACUUUAGCAUGGAAUAAUGGAAUAGGACUCUUGUCCAUUUGGUUGGUUAUUGGAUUAGAGUAAUGAUUAAUAGGGACAGUUGGGGGCAUUAGUAUUUAAUUGUCAGAGGUGAAAUUCAUGGAUUUAUUAAAGACUAACUUAUGCGAAAGCAUUUGCCAAGGAUGUUUUCAUUAAUCAAGAACGAAAGUUAGGGGAUCAAAGACGAUCAGAUACCGUCCUAGUCUUAACUAUAAACGAUGUCGACUCGGGAUUGGAAAGGUCGAUUUAUCCUUUCCAGCACCGUAUGAGAAAUCAUUAAGUCUUUGGAUUCUGGGGGGAGUAUGGUCGCAAGGCUGAAACUUAAAGGAAUUGACGGAAGAGCACCACCAGGCGUGGGACCUGCGGCUUAAUUUGACCCAACACGGGAAAACUUAUUUCGGCAAAACAUGAGUGGGAUUGACAGAUUGAGAGCUCUUUCUUGAUUUUAUGGGGUGUGGUGCAUGGCCGUUCUUAGUUGGUGGAGUGAUUUGUCUGGUUAAUUCCGUUAACGAACGAGACCUUAACCUGCUAACUAGUCUCCUCGUCACCAACGGGGGGUACUUCUUAGAGGGACUAUGGUUCGAUAAGAC
rnacentral:rRNA from 1 species